AACACAUAAUCUCUGGUGCUGGAAUUUCUCAAAGGUGUUUUUUUCUGCAGUGGUGAUGCUUCAUGUUAUAGUAGAGAGGGGAAGUAGGAGCCCUCACCUGUUCCAACACCUGCCCAGUAUGUUUGCUUCCUGCCUCAUAUAGUUCUGGCCACGUGCUUGCUGUGAAGUACUGGACUAAUGCUUGUUUGUUUUAUGUUCCUACAAAGCUGAAUUAUUGUAUAGAUUAAUAUUUCAUAUUCUCUUUUGUGUGUAACAGGUAUAUUCUGAGUGGAAACACGUAUUACUGGAGAACUGCCUGAAAUGUACUGGAGUUUUGAAUCCUGCUCUCAUUUGGCAUAUACUUUUUAUCGUAAUACACUUCUUUGCUGCUGAUCUUAUUCCUUAUUGAAACAGCCCAUUUCUGCAUGAUUCAAGUUCAUUUCUUGGAACUGGUUUCAAUAACUUUCAUUUAUUUAAACUAUUAAAAUAGUUUGAAAUAUGGAGAACAGUACUACUCGCUUCCUAUUCAAAUUGCAGCUUUAACCAUUGAAAUAAGGUUGAAAUAAAGUGUCUUGGGUUCUGCUUGACCUGAUUCAAUGUAACUGUUAAAAUGUAGAAUUACGAAAAGAUAAAGUCAGAUGCAUUCCCUAUUUGGCUCAAACUAUUGAAAUGGGGAUGGUAUGAGUUUGCACAGCUAUUAAUAUGUUAUUAAUUCUGGAUAUAUUAUAUACUACUUUUAAGCCUUAUCUGAAGAACUGGAUAUUCUUUUGUAACAUGUUCUUUUGCUUUUCUAUACUCUGACAUUUUGUAGAUGAUCCAUUGCUCAAUGUGUAAAGUCUAAAUGGCUCUUCUUAUUCAAUCAAGUGCUAUGUCAUUGAAUGUGUUACAAAGAGACUAUAUGCUCUGCACAUUAAGUUUCGAGUCUGGUGCUUACUGCAAAAUUCAGACUUUUCAGAUGCUAAAUAUGUGCUAUAUCUUGCAAGCUAAAAAUGGAAGACUUCUGGCAGUUUUCAGUUGUUGAGAUUAUAAAUGACUCUCUUAUGUCCAUCCUUCUCUCUUUUGUCCAUUGGCUUCCAUAUUAGGCCCCAGUUCUUUGCAGUGUUAAGUAUCCCUGUGGCUCCCAUAGGCUAGAAAGCAGUAAUGCCAUCCCAUUCCUGUUUUUCUGAAUUGGGCUUCUGUUAUUUUGACUGUCUGUAAAAUAUCCCAGGGGAAACGAUAGCUUUGAACUAAGCGAUUGCUUAUUUUUUCUCUUUGAUUUGCUACAGAAGCCUCCUUCACUUAUUUGUAAGUUACUAACUCUAUAAGACCCUCAUGUUACUUAAUAUUGUUUCCACUAUUUCUGUAGGUAGGUUUUCAGGUAUGCAAAUAGUGGAUCCUAAAAUAUUCUGCGUGAACAAUAAUUUCUGUGACAGGCAGCAUUCAUCAGUGAGACUGAAUGCUUUCAAUUUAAAGAAAGAAUAAAUAAAAAUAAUUAAACAGAAAUGCUUCUACCAGAAGCAGUAUCAAAUUUCAUCAGAUCUAAACGGUAUGUUAAAAAACCCUUGUCAACAAAUGAAAAUUCAGAGGAUCCCUAUCAUGUUAUGGAAUUGCACUCUCCCAGAGGCAAGGAUCAAAAUGCUUCCCUUGAUUCACAGGGCUUGUGAAGGUGUAGAAGCUAUGGCCAGCCUUCAGCCUUAUAUUUCCUCUUGGCAGCAGCUGCUCACCUGUAGGAUCUGGAGCACAUGUUUGGGCAGGAGAAAGGUUUGGGAGAGCCAAACUUUUGGAUGGUCUCUUGAUGGAAUGGUUGUUUUAAGGGCAGAUGGUAUGGGAGCACACAUGGUUAUGGCUCAGCAUGGCCACUGUGAAGCUGCAGGAUGUCAGGCUAAGCACAUGCUGCUGCUGCUUAGAAAAGAGAAGAUUUAAGCCAUGAAAGGACUGCAGAGCAAGCGUGGGGGAAUGCAGAAAGGACUUCUCAGCCUAAGACAUGCCAUCCUUCUCUCUUUUGAAACUGUGUAACUGUUGGUAAAAAUGUUUUUGAUAAUACUCACAACUGAAAUAGAUAUCUAUUUUGCUAUCAACCACUUUGUCAGUCUUCAUUCAGUGAAGAUUGUUUGCUCUGUUCAUUGCUGCCUAGCAGGAGAGAAGGUGAUGUGGAGUUGGGAGAUUGUGGACAAGUGAGAUGAAUUCUCAGACUUUGCCUGAAGAAGCUGUGUUUCUUGAUACACAGGUGAUAACUAUUUGUCCUUUUACUGGCUGCCUCCACUCCUCACACUCUCCACCAGCCCUAUGAACGAAUGGGUCUUCAGCAUCGCAGCCAUGUUUUACAAAGGCAACAGUUGUAGUGAUGAGAUGCUGACAAGUUUAAGGCAAAAUUCUGCAUAUUUAUCUUUAGAUGAAAAGCAUCAUUAGAUUAUGCCCCACGUUCAUAUGAAGUUGAUAGUAACAUGUGCAAUGAGCCUGUCCUCUCUUUUAUGACAUUACAGAAUCAAGUGCUUUAGUUAUAAAUAGGGCAAGAUAUGAGGCAGACUGCAUACUUCCUUGAGCUGGGAGACAUGCACCAUAAAUCAGGACAUGUUUGCGUAAUUACAAGAUAUCAGAACAAGUCCCAGGGGUAUUUUUAGCAUUGUAAAAUGUUCUGCAGGAAAGCAGGUCUAUCUAACAUUAUCCUUUUCCUUUCUCCACUCCUAGGCACCAGGCUGUUUUGUUGGUCAGAUUACUUGACGUGGAAGCAGUGUGAUAAAUUACAACUGCAGGAGUAUGGUGUGUUUAAUUGCACAAUCAGAGUUUAAAACUUCUGAUUAAAUUGUGCAAAGCCUCUGAACUAAUUGUCAGAAAAUGUCUUCAGGGCUGUGUACUUUCCUAGCAGACAUUUGGAUGUAAAAUCAAAGGCUUGUUUUUUUUUCUACUGGUGUGGAAUAUUUUGGGUAGGUAGUUGGGACCCUGUGUGAAUGAGUGGCUUUGGGAAACAGAAAGAAAACUGUUGUUGCCACGAUUGAAUAUCUCUAUUUGUAAGAAAUGUGCAUGAAGUGGUUGGAAGGAUUUGACAGGAGAGAGGAAAGGUCUGUUUUGUGUUUAAAUACUUGUUUACAUUCUUUUCCUAAUGUGUGUGUCAAUAUGAAUUCAAUCAUAAUUAUACCUCUUAUGUUCUUAAGGCCAUUCUCAUCCUUUUCUCUGUUCUCAGGACAGCCUUGGCAUCACUGAAUUUUGGUGAGAUGCUGUUACUCUCCAUGCACCUCGACCUGUGACAAUACUCAGUGUUAGCUUGUGACUUCUGGGCUGCCACAGUUUGGAAUCAGCUUGAUGAAAGCCAUCAGCAGGUCUAUCAAGUGCCACAGAUUGACACAGAACUCUUGUCUUGGGCAUUUGUGUUCAUGCCUGUAAAGCAAUGAAAAGCAGACCAAAAGGAGAGAGAGAGGGAUGGAUAGCAAGGCCCCACCUGUUUGUAUGGUCCACCUGGGCUGCUGUGGCUGUGUUGGCAGACAGAAAAUAAACCACCACUAAUAAUAUAGACCUCAGCUAUAGGGAAAGCUGUGCCCUACUCACGUAAAAGAAUUUUCUGCACAACUCAUGGGCAAGUGUUCUCCAUUACAGCAUGGUUCAGGCUUAGGCAUGUAAUUAGAGAAUUUCUUUGUUCCUAAGAGCAAACUCAGUCAACAUCAAAGCUGAUAUCAAAACAGAAGGGAGUUUUUUUUCCCUACAUUACUUAGUGUUGAAUUUCUAAUAAGAACCAAACCAAAAUACAAACAACUCACAAAGCAAAAACAAACAAAAACAAAAAAUCACAACAAAGAACCCCAAACAAAUAAAAUAAGCUUUCAUACAAUCCCAGACAAUAACGAUGUGAUAGGUGUGGGGCAAGUAUGAGAUAAUAGGAAGCUCCAAUUUCAUUCACCUCACAGAAGAGGGUCUAUACACAAUGCUAAUUUGCUCUUACAGUGAAAUACUCUGCUGCUGCUACAACAGCUGUAAUCUUUUGAAUGAGAUUCUAAAUAUGAAUUACUUAUUAUCUUUUUUUUUUUUUUUGGUCAUCUGUUCUGAAGAUACAAACACAGACGUCUCUUAAUGUGCUUCGAAAGUUCAAAAGGAAUGACCUCUGUGCAGGUUAAAUUAUCCAAAAUCUCUUACUCUGCUAUACUUCUAAUAUUUGUGGAGCAACUAGCUGUCAUUUAGCUUGAUUUAACCAACUUACUGAUAUCAGUUAAUUGGAUAAUGAGCCACAGGCAAGCUUUAGGCAUCACACAACUAUUUUCCUCUUUUCUUCAUUUACUGGGAGUGAAAAUAUGAUAGAGUUUCCCCAUAUAUUCUGAAAGUAAUGAUUUUAUUCACUCUUGCUGUUCUUAAUUGUCCUCAAAUCAAUUGUUAGAUGACUGUUUGACCACUCAGGAUGCUUGAACAUUUUCACAUGGUGUUUAAAUGACGUGGCUGGCUCCAGUUGGGUCUGUGGGUGUUUGUCAUUAGUAGGUAUUUUAGAAGUUAGUAAUUAAUUAGUACAUUGUCAUUUUAUUCCCUGCUCUAAUAGAUAAGAGUAAUGUCAAAUUUAUAACAUGGUGUGCACUGCUAGAAAUGAUUUUUUUUUUUUCUGGCUUUGUAAGCCAUUUGUAACAGACCCCCAAAUGUUCUGAGAUGAGAUGCAGCACAGACCAAUGGGAACAUUAUCAAUGUGUUUCUAAAGCAGACUUUGUCCACCGCUUAAAAAUAAAUGCAAAAAAAAUUGCUUGCAAAGGCGUUAAACAUUUAACAGCUUUAAAAGUGGUUAUUAAAAUAACUGAGUGGCUCAUUUCCUUAAUCAAGGAGGCUUUUGGAUUAAUUUUUGCAAGAUUUUAAUUAUUCUGUUAUAUGUAAUGGUAAUAUUCCUCUCCAGAUAUCCACAUAUGCUGAUCUCAACAUCAAAACUAAAAAACAUAACUUUACAAAGCAUUCAGCAAGCUUUCUGAUAAAUCUAAUACUUGUAGUUUCAUUGUUGGUUGAAUUACUAUUUGACCCAUAUCUGCCUGUUGGCUUUCUGCUCCCAUCUAGAUACACCAGUUUGUUAAGCCAUACAGAGCCCUACUGAUUUUGAGAGGAGGAUAUGGCUUUCAGCAGCAGCCUAUGGUUCCUGGUCUCCUCAUAGUGAGAUGGACUUCUAGGGUCCCUGGUGGUGUUCAUACCCUGUGCAUCUCAGAGGUAUCUUAUCUGUGAGCAAAUGAUCCUGAAAUGCCUGUGUUACUGCUUAGACUGAGAUCAGGUCUAGGGAGCUGAAAUCUCUCAUUGUCACGGCAUAGAAGUACUGGAUCUGUGACUUUUGAAUCUGUCUACCAGUAUUUGACAUGCAGUUUAAGUGCAUGCUUAGAGUAAUAAAAGGUGUGUAUUGAAGGACGAUGGUAUUUUUUCAGAUUUAUAGUACUAUUGCUUAUUAUUUCAAAGUGCACAAUUUAGGCUUGUUCUUAACAGGAAAAAUGUAACAGUGAAAAAGUUCAUGUUAGUUCCUGAAGUAGAUGCUGAAAUAAGGGUGAGGCUUUUAAAGUUUUAAUGUGUUUCACAACAACUGAUGUUUUCUCUUUUGAGGGAUUAAUGAAACACUUUAAAUCUGCUUUUUGUGAUGGCCUGCAGCACAUUAUUGAGGGUUCAUUAUCUUGUCAAAGCCUGUAAAAUAUGGGACCCUACAGGAGUGAUGAUGAGGCGCACAGUAAGUUGAUAAGGAGUCAGUCCUCUCACAUGGGGCUAGGAGGAAAAAUGCUACAAUAGAUACAGAUGGAAAGUAAAAUACAAGACCCUGUGAGAAUCUACCAGCAGUACUGGUUCUAAAUUUGUUUUAGACAAAUUGGAUUUGUUGCUUUUCAGUUUUCCUUCUGCAAACUCUCCUGUGACUUUAUUGUCAGCUGAAGUGUUUAUUGACUGAGAAGUGCUUGCUUUUUAGUGAUGGAUAUGGUGAUCCUGGUAAACACUUUGGGGAAAUACUGUGAUGCAAUAUGCUGUGUAAGUAUUUAUGUCGCAUAAUGGAGUGGGCAGACACUAAUUUAAAUAAAAACUAGAAUAGAAAUCUCAUUGUUUCAGCAGCCAUUAGUUUCAUUAAAGCUGGUAUAAAGAUAAGAGUUAAAUGAUCUGUGGAUACAUACAAAUGUCUUAAAGUAGAAAAGUAACACCAAAUUCAAUGCCAUUAUUACUGGGACAAGUGCCAGCAUUCUCGUUAUUUUAAAUGACUUCCAAGCUGAGCCCUUAGAGAUUGAUGAGGUAAGCGAUUUCAGAUGGGAAACUUGAUAUCCUCAGUGCUGAAAGGUGUUGAGGGCUCUCACAUGUUAGGGAGCGUGGCCAAACCUGGGAUGCUCUGUGAGGCAGCAGACAAAAACCAAAGGUUAAAGGCAGCUGUGGCCAUUCUUCCAAGUAGGGGAAAAAAGAAAUAUUGCGUGGUGCACUGCAGGAAAGCUGCAGAGUCCACCUCAUAUGAUGAUGAAGUGACUGCUUUGGAAGUUAAAACUACUGGACCCUGUGAUAGCAGACAAACUCACAAGUUUGGCAGAUUUAAAGCGAACACAAAGUAAAAUCUACAUAUAUGUUUUUAAUGCAAUAGUUUAGAAGGUGGAGAUCACUAUAAGAGAUUGCAAAGAGAUAAAUUUGUGAAAGACUGGUUAACUGAUGACUAUUAAAGCUGACAGCUGACAUGCAGCCCUCAGCUGAGAAGACUCAUAAAUCACUGGUUGUUCAAAUGUGGUGAAAUAAACCAGAGGAAAGCCUCUACUCUGCAUCUCUCAUGGUUCCUCAGCCUCUGUUACCGACCGCUACAGAGUCUGGUUGCUUUGUUGUCCUCCCUGUGGAGCCAGUGCUGUGUGACUGACCCUAAACCAAAGUCUAUUUGCAGGGUUGAUCUUAGAGCAGAGAAGUUUUUAUCUUGUAAUGUAUAUUUCAGCUGGGCACAUUGCACUUACCACUAAUGUUGAUCUCUAGCAUCCUGGCUGUGACUUCUCCAGCCAAACUGAUGGGCUGGGCUAUGGGGGCAGGGAGGAACACCUUGGCCAUGUGAGUGCUGCCAGGGGCUUUGGGAAGGGCUGGGAAGCCCUGCAAGACAUUUUGUCUACCUGCAAACGUGGGUGAGAAGAAAGAUGGUGGGAGGGACGGGGGUUGCUGGGAGCACACAUAAAACAUCUGUGUAUUUUAAUUUCUGUUCUAUGGUGGGAAAACUUCACCUGACCUGCUUUCUUGAGAUUUGGAUUUGGAAGACUGAAAAUGGGGCAGAAGAACAUGUACAAUAAGACUGCUGUCAGGGAGGAACAAAAUACCAUUGCUCAGCCGUCUCAGGAAUAGUUUCUGUAGCAGGACAUGUGCAAGGAGAGCUAUGGCGAUUACAAGUAUAGCUGGGAAUUCAGAACUUCAUCUGCACUUUCUAGAAAGUCUCACUUUUGGCCGGUUGCACUGAGGAGUUUUCUCAGGAACUACACAGGGCUUUGUCAUAGUUA